rnacentral:rRNA from 1 species
CCUACGGGGGGCUGCAGUGGGGAAUAUUGGGCAAUGGGGGAAACCCUGACCCAGCAACGCCGCGUGAAGGACGAAGGCCUUCGGGUUGUAAACUUCUUUGAUCAGGGACGAAAGCAAUGACGGUACCUGAAGAACAAGCCACGGCUAACUACGUGCCAGCAGCCGCGGUAAUACGUAGGUGGCGAGCGUUAUCCGGAUUUACUGGGUGUAAAGGGCGUGUAGGCGGGUCAGCAAGUCGGGUGUGAAAUUUCCGGGCUUAACCCGGACGGGUCAUCCGAAACUGCAGAUCUUGAGUGCUGGAGAGGAUAGUGGAAUUCCUGGUGUAGCGGUAAAAUGCGUAGAGAUCAGGAGGAACACCAGUGGCGAAGGCGGCUAUCUGGACAGUAACUGACGCUGAGGCGCGAAAGCGUGGGGAGCAAACAGGAUUAGAUACCCUAGUAGUC